CAUUCAUACAAAUCCCCCAUGUAACUUUGGAUCAUCAAUUUCCAGCAAAUGGGCUGUUUGCAAGUGCCGUCCCUGCCUCACCCCUGGCUGAAUGGUUGCCUCUGACACACAGCACCCCGACUGCUCCCAGGGCAGAUGAAUGAAACUUUGUCAGAGAGCACUGAAUGAAGAAGAAGGAGCUCAUUUCCCUUCCCAGAUUCCUCCUGAAUUCACGGGAGCUGAACAAAUAGUAUCAGAAAGUGUAUCAGUUUCUUCCAGCAAAGACACUGUACAGUCACAGGCAGCUGCACUGUGGAAAAUGUAAAUGCAAUAGAAAACACAGACUUGGAGGAGCAGCUGUUGUCCCCUCCAGGUCAAGCAGUGGUCUUGAAAGAUGAACCAGCACAGAGGGAACUCAGAAGGAGCAAGAUGUUUAUAUCCAAAGCCAGAACUGUAUUUCCCACGGUCCCAUCCAAAGAACUCCAGCUGCAAACAAAUCCAGGGGAGCAUCAGCCUUUUCUACAGCAGUGAUUGUUGGUACUACCUCACUGUGCUGCUGAUGUCCACCGUGCAAUGUGCCCACUGCAUGGUGCCAGAGAGAAGCACGAUUAAGGGAAGGCUAGCAGAAAGGAGAGAGAAUGUAUAGCAUAGAAGCCUAGAAAGCAGCAGCAUCAGCAGACCAAGAGGAGGUUAUUCCCGUGA
rnacentral:lncRNA from 1 species